GAAAGAUAUCACAAGAACUGCUAAUUCAUGUACCUGAAACUAAACCUUCAGAUCUUUCA
rnacentral:tRNA from 1 species